AAUUACGCAAAAAAACGAAAGUGAUAGUAUCAAAAAAAAAGAAGAGGACAAAGAAAAUUAGCAGAGAACCUAAAAAGAAAGAAAAGAAAUGUUAGAAUUCUUUUCUAGAAGAAAGGGAAAAAUUUUGAAAAGGAAAAAAAAUAAAAAUAAAAAUAAAAAUAAAAAUAAAAUAUAUUAUCAAAUCUCAACUCCACACUAACCACUCAACCUCAAUCUCAACCUCAACUACCUCAGAAUUCCAAGACCACC
rnacentral:lncRNA from 1 species